GGAGGAAAGCAGGGGAUCGUAAGACCUUGCGCUUUUGGAGUGGCCGAUGCCUGAUUAGCUAGUUGGUGGGGUAAGAGCCUACCAAGGCGACGAUCAGUAGUUGGUCUGAGAGGACGACCAGCCACACUGGGACUGAGACACGGCCCAGACUCCUACGGGAGGCAGCAGUGGGGAAUUUUGGACAAUGGGCGAAAGCCUGAUCCAGCAAUGCCGCGUGAGUGAAGAAGGCCUUCGGGUUGUAAAGCUCUUUCAGUCGAGAAGAAAAGGUUGCGACUAAUAAUCGCAACUUAUGACGGUAUCGACAGAAGAAGCACCGGCUAACUACGUGCCAGCAGCCGCGGUAAUACGUAGGGUGCGAGCGUUAAUCGGAAUUACUGGGCGUAAAGGGUGCGCAGGCGGCUCUGUAAGUCAGAUGUGAAAUCCCCGGGCUUAACCUGGGAA
rnacentral:rRNA from 1 species